ACUCUCUCAGCUCUGCAUAGUUGCACUUUCUACUCACGCGUGUGACUUUCGUAAAAGAGAGAGAGAACAAGGAUCUCCUCGGAACCUCAGGUUGGCCUUGCGGUGGCCAGUCUUGGUUUGAGGGGCGCCACAGAC
ensembl:snoRNA